GGGAAUUUUGGACAAUGGACGCAAGUCUGAUCCAGCAAUGCCGCGUGCAGGACGAAGGCCUUCGGGUUGUAAACUGCUUUUGUACAGAACGAAAAGGCUCUGGUUAAUACCUGGGGCUCAUGACGGUACUGUAAGAAUAAGCACCGGCUAACUACGUGCCAGCAGCCGCGGUAAU
rnacentral:rRNA from 1 species